rnacentral:rRNA from 1 species
GUGAAGAACGCCUUCUGGUUGUAAAGAUCUUUCGGCCGGGAAGAAAUCGCAUUGGUUAAUACCUGGUGUGGAUGACGGUACCGGAAUAAGAAGCACCGGCUAAGUACCUGCCAGCAGCCGCGGUAAUACGUAGGGUGCGAGCGUGGGUUAAUCGGAAUUACUGGGCGUAAAGCGUGCGCAGGCGGUUUUGUAAGACAGGCGUGAAAUCCCCGGGCUCAACCUGGGAACUGCGCUUGUGACUGCAAGGCUUAGAGUACGGCAGAGGGGGGUGGAAUUCCACGUGUAGCAGUGAAAUGCAUAGAGAUGUGGAGGAACACCAAUGGCGAAGGCAGCCCCCCUGGGUCGAUACUGACGCUCAUGCACGAAAGCGUGGGUAGCAAACAGGAUUAGAUACCCUGGUAGUCCACGCCCUAAACGAUGUCAACUAGGUGUUGGGAGGGUAAAACCCUUUUAGUACCGGAGCUAACGCGUGAAGUUGACCGCCUGGGGAGUACGGCCCCCAAGGUUAAAACUCAAAGGAAUUGACGGGGACCCGCACAAGCGGUGGAUGAUGUGGAUUAAUUCGAUGCAACGCGAAAAACCUUACCUACCCUUGACAUGUCAGGAAGUCUUGAGAGAUUGAGAUGUGCCCCGAAAGGGAACCUGAACACAGGUGCUGCAUGGCUGUCGUCAGCUCGUGUCGUGAGAUGUUGGGUUAAGUCCCGCAACGAGCGCCAACCCUUGUCGUUAAUUGCCAUCAUUUAGUUGGGCACCUUUAGCGAGACUGCCGGUGACAAACCGGAAGAAGGUGGGGAUGAACGUCUAGUCCUCAUGGCCCCUUAUGGGUAGGGCUUCCCACGUCAUACAAUGGUCCGGUACAAGGGUCCGCCCACCCCGCCGAGGGGGGAGCCCAUCCCAAAAAGCCGAUCGUAGUCCGGAUUGCAGCUGCAACUCCCUGCAUGAAGUUCGGAAUCCCUAGUAAUCUGGAUCAGCCAUGUCCCGGUGAAUACGUUUCCCGGG